rnacentral:misc_RNA from 1 species
UUGAGUAUGGUGACGAUGGUGGUGGUAGUGGGGGCACUACCACAAUGGUGGUCUAGAAGUGGUGGCUUGGUCCAUGACGACAUCCAAGGUGCUGCCGUGAUGAAGAUCUAUUGUCUACCCCUGCUGGUGCUUGUGUGGCAUGUGGGAGGAGCAUGGAGCAGUAGGCCCCCCCGUCUCAACGUGAGUGAGGAAGUAGCGGUGACAUCCGAGGAAAUCUUCUCCAUCCGAUGUGAGGGCACCGAACCACUCUAUUGGAACUGGACCUCCCAGUAUCUAGAAAAUGGUACUGAGUAUCUAACCAUCACUCACGAGCAGCAUCAUGGGACAGACUAUCCCUAUGUGUCUACUUUAACGAUGAAAGAUUUAUAUAGCAGUGACACUGGGUACUUCUACUGCGCCUAUUAUGAUGUUGAAUACUACAACAUUACCACAGAGAGAGCGGACCGGACUUACAUCUAUGUGUAUGAUGGUCAGAAGGAUUUGGUGGAUGAGGGAAGAAUGUUAAAAAACAUAAGAAUCACAACAGCAGAAACGCUCGUUCUCGACUGUCGUACAACUCUACCAAACAUAACUGUUCAACUAUGGAAGGAUUCUAACGAGGUGAAACCUGACCUGCGCAGAUCCUUCGAUCCAAGAAGUGGAUUUAUUUAUAAAAAUAUAGUUGUAAAAGACAGUGGAUUCUAUGAAUGCAAAACAAAUAGUUCUCUACUUGGUUUAACAUUUCACACCAUAGUUCAACCAGUUUCUGCUACAGUCAGUCUACCGAAGCCAGCAAUUGAAAAAGAGGCUAAUCAACACUUUGUUCAAGGCCGUGGCUUCAGACUUAAUUGUUCUUUGAUACUGGACAAGGUUGUAGCAUUCCACUGGAAGAUUCCUAAUCCAUCAACUGUGCACACUGUCACCAACACAGACUUAACACGCAAUGGCAAUAUGUACAAGAUCAGUAUGCUACAUGUCCUGAAUGCUACCACCAAGGAUUCUGGAACAUAUGAGUGCGAGGUGACUUCAUCCGGCUCAAAAUCUAAUCAAGAUUCUUUGUAUGUUCAUGUGCAAGAGUCAAUAAAAUCUUUUAUCAAUAUCACAAGUGCUCCAGUAAUCAGACUUAAAGAAGAGGAGUUCCUGAAAUGGAGAAGUGAUGUUAUAGCCUAUCCCCCUGAUCCUCAGCUCAUCUAUCGAGACUGGACAGGCAAAGAGAUCAAGGAAACAGACAGGAUAAGUACCGAGCAUCAUGCAAAUAGUGAGUCUUGGUUGAAAAUCACAAAUGUGACUGCUAAUGACUACGGACUUUAUAAAUUGGAAGGGAUAACAAGUGACCGCAAGUCUAGAGCCUUUGUUGAGGUUUUAAUUGAAAUCAAGAGUAGACCCACUGCUGUAAUAAAAGGAGUUCCACCUUUCAUGAAGGCUGGACAGACUCUUAAUGUAUCGUGCCAAACUACGGGCUUCCCUCUACCAACCAUCACCUGGUUAUUUGACACAUGUCCCACUGGAAUUCAUACUUGCUCUGGAGAUUCUAAGGCAUUCAAGCAUGAAGAUUUCGGAAACAGUACUUUACAGCCUGGCAACAUAAAGAUAUUCAACAUUAGUUACAUUGCUCAACAGUCUGGAAUUUUAUUUUGCAAUGCAGAAAACAAGCAAGGAUCGGGAAACUCAAGUGUUCGUGUAAGCAUAAGUGAUAUUGGCGGAAAUUUUGUAUUUCUGCAUGUGGGACAAAACAUAACAAACGACAAACCGAAACCAACGAGAACUAUUGAGGUUAUUGUUAAUGACGACUUCUAUGUGAUGUGUGGAGCCUCCAAGUUUCUCUACAAGAAGGUUCAACUUUUAUUUAACGGUGCCAGUAUCUUGUCAAAUGGUUCACAGAUAAUGGUAAAUGAAUCCCAUCUAUCAGUUUGGAGUUAUUUAAGAAGAGACAAAGUAACACAAGAUCUUGAAGGCACCUUCACCUGCAUUGCCGAACCUAAUGAAGAUAAGCCGCUUAAAAAACGAGAUUUAAAGAUUAUUGUUUUGGAUGAAAAGCCAGUGACGUUCACAGAUGAAGCCAACUUAUUUGAGAAUGGAAAGACAGUUGAAAUAAAGGAAGGAUCAGAAUACAUGCUCAACUGUACUGUUACAGGGACACCAACUCCAGUCAUCAGCUGGUUCAAGGAAAAUAUACCACUGGUCCCUGGCGACUCUACAUUCUUUGACAAUAAGACAGCAUUCCUGUUGGAUAACCACCAAAGAGUGUUGCUGAGGCAUGUGUUUGACGACUAUACUGGACACUACAGCUGUCGGGCCGAGAACCGCAUUUAUAAACGUAUUGGUUCUGUCAUUCUCACCAUCCCUAAAGCUGGGCUUAGUACUGCAGCCAAAGUUGGACUGGCAUUUGCAUGCAUAGGCAUAGUAUUUUUGGGGGUAGUUGUUAUUGUGCUGAUCAAGAGAGUGAAAAAAGAGAGGAAAUUCCGAAAAUCUUUCCGUAAGAAUGAGUUAUACUUAUUUGAGAAAGGCAACAUUGGUCAACUGAACCCAGACUGUACAGCUGAUGAGCAAGCGGAAUUGUUGCCAUAUGACCCAGAAUGGGAAGUUACAAGAGAGAAUAUCAAAAUUGGUAAGCAGUUGGGUUCUGGAGCCUUUGGACGUGUUGUGAAAGCCCAGGUAUCAGGUCUCGACAUAGAUGGUCAGCCAACGACCACUGUUGCUGUCAAGAUGUGUAAGAGCCAGGCUGAUCAAUCUCAAGUGCGAGCUCUGGCCUUGGAGCUGAAGAUCAUGUUACAUCUUGGCAAACAUCUCAAUAUUGUCAACCUUAUGGGUGCCAACACUGCUCACAUUGGCAAAGGAGAGCUGUGGAUCCUAGUCGAGUACUGCCGCUUUGGUAACCUUCUUGCGUUCAUGCAUCGUCAUCGGAAACGCUUCAUAAAUCAAAUAGAUCCUGUCACUGGCCAAAUUGAUUAUAUGAAGUUAGCGAUGGAUCCUUUUAGCCCAAUGUCACCCUCUUCACACAGUACCAGAGAAGGAUAUCGAUGUGCACCAAUAACAGACCAGGAUGGCUACUUGGCUCCCACUGCUUCAAACUUCACCCUAGCAUCCCCUCCCCAGAGGAAGAGUGUAGCAUCCCCUCCUCAGUCUCCCAGAUCUGUAUCAGGAUCUUCAUUUGAAACCUGUAUGUUAGAUGGCCAACCAAGACAGGUUGUGGAUAACCCAAUGUACUGCGUAGGGAUACAACGCUCUGUCAGUGACUGUCCUGAAGGGGAGUCGGGGACAAACAGUAGCUCAGGAGGAUCUCAGAUCCCGCCUCUGGACUCGAAACUACAAACUAUGGUAUCCGGUGCCAACUCGGAUAAUGAAUCCGUCGGCUAUUCCAGAAACGAGUUGCAGAUUACAAACACUGACAUGACAACUGUUCAGUCACUACAGUUGCCCUUUUCACCGUCACCUUUGUCUCCUACAGAUUCUUCACUCCUUGGUGUGGAUUCACAAGGUAACCCGUACUCAUACGACAUUGGUCACAUCCCAGGUGUUAAUUCUCCCUUUACCACAAGCAUCCUUGUGUGCUGGGCCUGGCAGGUAGCACAAGGCAUGGACUACUUAACUCGUAGAAAGGUUCUUCAUGGAGAUUUAGCUGCAAGAAACCUUCUUCUUGCUGAUGAUAAUGUUGUCAAAAUCAGUGACUUUGGUCUGUCAAGAGAAAUGUACAAAAAGGAUGUCUAUAUGAAGAAAGGAGAUGAUUUAAUGCCCAUUAAAUGGAUGUCAAUAGAAGCUAUUCGUGAUCGCAUCUUCAGCGUUCAGAGUGACGUGUGGGCUUAUGGGGUCACCAUGUGGGAACUCUUCUCUUUGGGUUCUACACCUUACCCUGGAAUAGAGGUCAACCAGGACUUCCUCCAGCUGCUUGAGAGGGGCUACCGGAUGGACAGACCAAAAUAUGCAAACCAGGAAAUCUAUGAUGUAUUGCUUAAAUGUUGGGAGAUGGAACCCAUGGACCGACCCAACUUCGCACAGACAGCCGAGUCACUUGGUAUUCUUAUGCUGCCAGAUCUCAAAGGACAAUACAUGACGCUGAACGACCCAUACCUGUUGAUGAAUGAGGAGCGUUUUAGAAGACAAACUGAUUAUCUCAAUAUGUUGUCAACACCUGAUUUUGACAACCUCACUAAGGAUGAUGAUGACACCUUAGCAUUGUCCAUAAACUUACAGAAUGCAAAUAAUGGAAGCAGAGAAAACAACUACCUGAAUAUGAAGUCACCCGACCUGGUUGGAUACUCGCGUGUGGGCACUGAUAAGUUCCCGUCAUCUGGGGUGACCAAUCCUCAUUACUUGCCAAUGAGUUCUUCUCGGGGGUCUCCAAGUCCAACAGUUGAUGUGUUUAGCCCACGACCCAACGAGCCCAACAGAAGCUGGAAUCUUUGUUGCAUAGUGGAACAACUGAGGUCUUGCACCUGCAACAUACACAGCAUCAGUAUGAUAUAUCCUGUGUCAUGACCCCGUGACUUCAUCUGCCACUGAACUUCCAUCAUGAAUCCUCUCGUCUUCCCCAUUACAGCUAUUUACAUUUGCGCACGAGAGUUGUCGACUAACAAAACUUCCAGAGGAGGAUGAAUAUACAUCUCAGGAUGCUGAUAAAGUCACCAAUGACAAAGACACAGAAAUUUCUUCCUUGAUAAAUAAAGAUACAAGAAAUACUUC